rnacentral:rRNA from 1 species
AGAGUUUGAUCCUGGCUCAGGAUGAACGCUAGCUACAGGCUUAACACAUGCAAGUCGAGGGGCAGCAUUGGAGUAGCAAUACUUCAGAUGGCGACCGGCGCACGGGUGAGUAACACGUAUCCAACCUGCCGCUUACUCGGGGAUAGCCUUUCGAAAGAAAGAUUAAUACCCGAUGGUAUAAAGAGUUCGCAUGUUCUCUUUAUUAAAGAAUUUCGGUAAGCGAUGGGGAUGCGUUCCAUUAGAUAGUUGGCGGGGUAACGGCCCACCAAGUCUACGAUGGAUAGGGGUUCUGAGAGGAAGGUCCCCCACAUUGGAACUGAGACACGGUCCAAACUCCUACGGGAGGCAGCAGUGAGGAAUAUUGGUCAAUGGACGAGAGUCUGAACCAGCCAAGUAGCGUGAAGGAUGACUGCCCUAUGGGUUGUAAACUUCUUUUAUAAGGGAAUAAAGUGAGGGACGUGUCCCUUUUUGUAUGUACCUUAUGAAUAAGGAUCGGCUAACUCCGUGCCAGCAGCCGCGGUAAUACGGAGGAUCCAAGCGUUAUCCGGAUUUAUUGGGUUUAAAGGGAGCGUAGGUUGACGUAUAAGUCAGCUGUGAAAGUUUACGGCUCAACCGUGAAAUUGCAGUUGAUACUGUAUGUCUUGAGUGUACAAGAGGUGGGCGGAAUUCGUGGUGUAGCGGUGAAAUGCUUAGAUAUCACGAAGAACUCCAAUUGCGAAGGCAGCUCACUGGGGUACAACUGACACUGAGGCUCGAAAGUGUGGGUAUCAAACAGGAUUAGAUACCCUAGUAGUCCACGCUGUAAACGAUGAAUACUAAGUGUUGGAGAAAUUCAGUGCUGCAGUUAACGCAAUAAGUAUUCCGCCUGGGGAGUAUGCACGCAAGUGUGAAACUCAAAGGAAUUGACGGGACCCCGCACAAGCGGUGGAUUAUGUUGUUUAAUUCGACGCAACGCGAAGAACCUUACCAGGCCUUGACAUACUCGGCAAAGCUCUAGAGAUAGAGUGGAGGUUAUCCGGGAUACAGGUGGUGCAUGGUUGUCGUCAGCUCGUGUCGUGAGAUGUUGGGUUAAGUCCCGCAACGAGCGCAACCCUUGUCUUUAGUUACCAUCAUUAAGUUGGGGACUCUAGAGAGACUGCCGGUGAUAAACCGGAGGAAGGUGGGGACGACGUCAAAUCAUCAUGCCCCUUAUGACCUGGGCUACACACGUGCUACAAUGGCCACCACAGAGAGAAGCGAGCUCGCAAGGGGGAGCGGAUCUCAAAAAAGUGGUCUCAGUUCGGAUUGUGGGCUGCAACCCGCCCACAUGAAGUCGGAGUUGCUAGUAAUCGCGGAUCAGCAUGCCGCGGUGAAUACGUUCCCGGGCCUUGUACACACCGCCCGUCACACCAUGGGAGUUGGGAGUGCCCAAAGUCGGUGAGGCAACCGCAAGGAGCCAGCCGCCUAAGGCAAGACCAAUGACUGGGGUGAAGUCGUAACAAGGUAACC